rnacentral:rRNA from 1 species
GCAUGGUCUUAGCUUGCUAAGGCUGAUGGCGACCGGCGCACGGGUGAGUAACACGUAUCCAACCUGCCGUCUACUCUUGGCCAGCCUUCUGAAAGGAAGAUUAAUCCAGGAUGGCAUCAUGAGUUCACAUGUCCGCAUGAUUAAAGGUAUUUUCCGGUAGACGAUGGGGAUGCGUUCCAUUAGAUAGUAGGCGGGGUAACGGCCCACCUAGUCAACGAUGGAUAGGGGUUCUGAGAGGAAGGUCCCCCACAUUGGAACUGAGACACGGUCCAAACUCCUACGGGAGGCAGCAGUGAGGAAUAUUGGUCAAUGGGCGAUGGCCUGAACCAGCCAAGUAGCGUGAAGGAUGACUGCCCUAUGGGUUGUAAACUUCUUUUAUAAAGGAAUAAAGUCGGGUAUGCAUACCCGUUUGCAUGUACUUUAUGAGUAAGGAUCGGCUAACUCCGUGCCAGCAGCCGCGGUAAUACGGAGGAUCCGAGCGUUAUCCGGAUUUAUUGGGUUUAAAGGGAGCGUAGAUGGAUGUUUAAGUCAGUUGUGAAAGUUUGCGGCUCAACCGUAAAAUUGCAGUUGAUACUGGAUGUCUUGAGUGCAGUUGAGGCAGGCGGAAUUCGUGGUGUAGCGGUGAAAUGCUUAGAUAUCACGAAGAACUCCGAUUGCGA